rnacentral:rRNA from 1 species
GAUGAACGCUGGCGGCGUGCCUAAUACAUGCAAGUCGAGCGAACGGACGAGAAGCUUGCUUCUCUGAUGUUAGCGGCGGACGGGUGAGUAACACGUGGAUAACCUACCUAUAAGACUGGGAUAACUUCGGGAAACCGUAGCUAAUACCGGAUAAUAUUUUGAACCGCAUGGUUCAAAAGUGAAAGACGGUCUUGCUGUCACUUAUAGAUGGAUCCGCGCUGCAUUAGCUAGUUGGUAAGGUAACGGCUUACCAAGGCAACGAUGCAUAGCCGACCUGAGAGGGGGAUCGGCCACACUGGAACUGAGCAACGGUCCAGACUCCUACGGGGGGCAGCAGUAGGGAAUCUUCCGCAAUGGGCGAAAGCCUGACGGAGCAACGCCGCGUGAGUGAUGAAGGUCUUCGGAUCGUAAAACUCUGUUAUUAGGGAAGAACAUAUGUGUAAGUAACGGUGCACAUCUUGACGGUACCUAACCAGAAAGCCACGGCUAACUACGU